rnacentral:rRNA from 1 species
GUGAGGAAUUUUGCGCAAUGGGGGCAACCCUGACGCAGCGACGCCGCGUGGAGGACGAAGUCUUUCGGGAUGUAAACUCCUGUCAGUGGGGACGAUAAUGACGGUACCCACAGAGGAAGCACCGGCUAACUCCGUGCCAGCAGCCGCGGUAAGACGGAGGGUGCAAGCGUUGUUCGGAAUUACUGGGCGUAAAGCGUAUGUAGGCGGCAAGUUAAGUUCAAUGUUAAAGCCCACGACUCAACCGAGGAGAUGCAUUGAAUACUGGCUAGCUAGAGGGUGUUAGAGGAAGACGGAAUUCCCAGUGUAGCGGUGAAAUGCGUAGAUAUUGGGAGGAACAUCGGUAGCGAAAGCGGUCUUCUGGGACAUACCUGACGCUGAGGUACGAAAGCGUGGGGAGCAAACGGGAUUAGAAACCCUGGUAGUCC